rnacentral:tRNA from 1 species
GCUCGGCUAGCUCAGUCGGUAGAGCAUGAGACUCUUAAUCUCAGGGUCGUGAGUUCGAGCUCCACGUCGGGCG